rnacentral:rRNA from 1 species
AUAGCGUAUAUUAAAGUUGUUGCAGUUAAAAAGCUCGUAGUUGAACUUCGGGCCUGGCUGGGCGGUCAGCCUAACGGCGUGUACUGUCCGGCUGGGCCUUACCUCUUGGUGAGCCGGCGUGUCCUUUAUUGGGUGGGUCGGGGAACCAGGACUUUUACCUUGAGAAAAUUAGAGUGUUCAAAGCAGGCCUAUGCCCGAAUACAUUAGCAUGGAAUAAUAAAAUAGGACGUGCGGUUCUAUUUUGUUGGUUUCUAGAGUCGCCGUAAUGAUUAAUAGGGAUAGUUGGGGGCAUUAGUAUUGAGUCGCUAGAGGUGAAAUUCUUGGAUUGACUCAAGACCAACUACUG